CUACGGGUCGCUCCAGUGGGGAAUAUUGCACAAUGGGCGCAAGCCUGAUGCAGCCAUGCCGCGUGUAUGAAGAAGGCCUUCGGGUUGUAAAGUACUUUCAGCGGGGAGGAAGGGAGUAAAGUUAAUACCUUUGCUCAUUGACGUUACCCGCAGAAGAAGCACCGGCUAACUCCGUGCCAGCAGCCGCGGUAAUACGGAGGGUGCAAGCGUUAAUCGGAAUUACUGGGCGUAAAGCGCACGCAGGCGGUUUGUUAAGUCAGAUGUGAAAUCCCCGGGCUCAACCUGGGAACUGCAUCUGAUACUGGCAAGCUCGAGUCUCGUAGAGGGGGGUAGAAUUCCAGGUGUAGCGGUGAAGUGCGUAGAGAUCUGGAGGAAUACCGGUGGCGAAGGCGGCCCCCUGGACGAAGACUGACGCUCAGGUGCGAAAGCGUGGGGAGCAAACAGGAUUAGAUACCCUCGUAGUC
rnacentral:rRNA from 1 species